GUUUUAUAAUAAUUUUGUAUUUGAAUAUUCAUAUUGAAAUUAUGUAUUGCAUGAAUUUCAAUAUAAAUAUUUAAAAUAAAAUAAAACUGUUAAAACUCAUUUUUAUAUGAGAUGGACAUUAUAUUAAUUAUAACUAAUAUUUAAUUAAUGCAUUUGGUUUAUCUUAAUAAUUACUGAUAAAUUUUGGAAACAAAUGCAGCUCAUCA
rnacentral:misc_RNA from 1 species